AACAUCAGAUGGGCUGGAGGAGUCCAGUUGCUGGAGGAGCAACUGGGGAGAAGAGGGCUCCUCUUCUGGGUGGGCUUCAGCUGGCUGAGACCUCUUGCCCUUCCCCCACAACCAUGGUUGCCAUGGCAACGACCCCUCCUUCCCCAUAGGCCCUGUGGUUUCCUCUAGAGCUUCUUUCACUUUCUUCUUCUGCUUUUCCUCUCUCCUCUCCUCCCCUACUCCCACAUCCUCAACCUCUCCCCCAUAUGCACAGGUCAUUGGUGAAGACAGCCAGGCUCGAGGGACCCUCAUGAGAACCAAAUGAAACUUCAAUGACCACCCCCCCACCCCACCUCCCAAGAGAAGGGCAGAUAUGCAGAAUACAUAACUGGGGUUGGGACAGCCGAAAGACCUUUGAGGCCCAGUCAUACCUUCCCAGAGGUCCACAGGGUCCAAUCCAAGCACCCAUACCUGGUGGCUGUGGGAGGCCCAGACACUCAGGGUGGGCCCGUGUGGGCUCCUUUCCCCCACCCAGGUACGUUUCAUCCUAUUUCUUUAGUUCCCCUAAACUAAAAAAGCUGCAAAACCCACCCUCCUCACCCAGUCCCUCUCCAGGUCAGCUGGUCAUUUCCACUACUUCCUCCUAGAGGGAGCCACAUGAUGUGAGUUUCCAUCACUUUAUUUUGCAAAAAUAGAAAACUCAGCAAUAUGCAAUACAGCGGGGUGGAGGGGCGAUGUAAACAGAGGGGAGGGGACAGCACCCUGACCCCCCCAGAGAAAAAGGGGAGCCAGUGGGAAUCUUAUUUGGCAGCUAAAUACAAACUGGGGAUUGGAGGAAGAAGGGAGGGGUCAUAGGGGCCCUGGGCUCCCCCUCCCAAGACCCCUGGAGGAAGGGGUCAAUUCCAGGGUGUAAACAAAAGCUAAUAAAUAAAUAGAGGCUUCCUCUGGGUCAGGGUGGGAUCAGCUAAGCAGUGCCCACCCCCCUCUCCCUGGGCCAAGCUGCUCUGGGGGUCAAGGGGGGAAGGCACUAGGGGGAGAGGGAUCCCUUGGCCCCUCUGUAGUGUAAGAGGGUCCCUGCCCCAUGGCUGAGAUGAGGGGCAGGGGGAGCCCAAGGCACAUGACAGGGCUGGGGGCAGGGCCUGUAACGCAGGGCAGAGGGUAAACUCUGGGCCCAAGCAAAGAGGUGCAGAAUGGACCUACAUCUGUCCCUUUCACCCUCUGACCCCCCCCACAGAAAUGCAGGGCCCAGCCUGCCCCACUCUGACCUGGCACGAGAAUGGGGCACAGUGGGCAGCGUGCACCUGGCUGGUGCCUUACGCAGCAUGAGGCACCAAGGGCGGGGGCAAGAGGGUGGGCUCAGCCCUCCCGCUAUGCCCCACUUUUGGUCUCUAGUGUUCCUGUUUGCUCCCAGAAGCCUAAGCACCGGGCAGAGGAAGGGGCUGUGGAAGGGCAGGGUUUUCCUCCUGCCCUGGGGAGCCUGGGACCCUGGUGUCUAGGGGCAGUGCUGAGGUUUUAGAGUCCAAACCCAGGCUCACCCCUCUGCCCUCUGUCCUGGAAGGAACAGGGUAGGCCCCCAAGACUGGGGAGGGAGCCGGUUAGAGCAGGAAGGGGAUGAACACAGAGGCACCCCUGGAAA